GACGAACGCUGGCGGCGUGCUUAACACAUGCAAGUCGAACGGAAAGGCCCUGCUUUUGUGGGGUGCUCGAGUGGCGAACGGGUGAGUAACACGUGAGUAACCUGCCCUUGACUUUGGGAUAACUUCAGGAAACUGGGGCUAAUACCGGAUAGGAGCUCCUGCUGCAUGGUGGGGGUUGGAAAGUUUCGGCGGUUGGGGAUGGACUCGCGGCUUAUCAGCUUGUUGGUGGGGUAGUGGCUUACCAAGGCUUUGACGGGUAGCCGGCCUGAGAGGGUGACCGGCAACAUUGGGACUGAGAUACGGCCCAGACUCCUACGGGAGGCAGCAGUGGGGAAUAUUGCACAAUGGGCGGAAGCCGGAGGCAGCAACGCCGCGUGCGGGAUGACGGCCUUCGGGUUGUAAACCGCUUUCGCCUGUGACGAAGCGUGAGUGACGGUAAUGGGUAAAGAAGCACCGGCUAACUACGUG
rnacentral:rRNA from 1 species